rnacentral:rRNA from 1 species
AACGAACGCUGGCGGCAUGCCUAACACAUGCAAGUCGAACGAGACCGUCGGGUCUAGUGGCGCACGGGUGCGUAACGCGUGGGAAUCUGCCCGUGGGUUCGGAAUAACAGUGAGAAAUUACUGCUAAUACCGGAUGAUGUCUUCGGACCAAAGAUUUAUCGCCCAGGGAUGAGCCCGCGUAGGAUUAGCUAGUUGGGGGGGUAAUGGCCUACCAAGGCGACGAUCCUUAGCUGGUCGGAGAGGAUGAUCAGCAACACUGGGACUGAGACACGGCCCAGACUCCUACGGAAGGCAGGAGUGGGGAAUAUUGGACGCUGGACGCAAGCCUGAUCCCGCCAUGCCGCGUGAGUGAUGAAGGCCUUAGGGUUGUAAAGCUCUUUUACCCGGGAUGAUAAUGACGGUACCGGGAGAAUAAGCUCCGGCUAACUCCGUG